UUGAACAACACACUCUAGCCUCUGCGCCUAAGUUGAAAAAUAGGGCGCUUUGGCCGCAACAGGCUUCACUGUUGCCAGGGCGAAGGAAGAAAUGAUCUCGCCUCCCGUAUUUGGAAAGGUGUCUAUGGCUUCACAAC
rfam:Kluyvera ascorbata ATCC 33433 GKAS.assembly.009, whole genome shotgun sequence.